rnacentral:rRNA from 1 species
GACAGAGGAUGCAAGCGUUAUCCGGAAUGAUUGGGCGUAAAGCGUCUGUAGGUGGCUUUUCAAGUCCGCCGUCAAAUCCCAGGGCUCAACCCUGGACAGGCGGUGGAAACUACCAAGCUGGAGUACGGUAGGGGCAGAGGGAAUUUCCGGUGGAGCGGUGAAAUGCGCAGAUAUCAGGAAGAACACCCGUGGCGAAAGCGGCUCUCUGGAACGGUACUGACGCUGAGACGCGAAAGCGUGGGGAGCGAACAGG